rnacentral:rRNA from 1 species
AUUGAACGCUGGCGGCAGGCCUAACACAUGCAAGUCGAGCGGAUGAAGGGAGCUUGCUCCUGGAUUCAGCGGCGGACGGGUGAGUAAUGCCUAGGAAUCUGCCUGGUAGUGGGGGAUAACGUCCGGAAACGGGCGCUAAUACCGCAUACGUCCUGAGGGAGAAAGUGGGGGAUCUUCGGACCUCACGCUAUCAGAUGAGCCUAGGUCGGAUUAGCUAGUUGGUGGGGUAAAGGCCUACCAAGGCGACGAUCCGUAACUGGUCUGAGAGGAUGAUCAGUCACACUGGAACUGAGACACGGUCCAGACUCCUACGGGAGGCAGCAGUGGGGAAUAUUGGACAAUGGGCGAAAGCCUGAUCCAGCCAUGCCGCGUGUGUGAAGAAGGUCUUCGGAUUGUAAAACACUGUAAGUUGGGAGGAAGGGAAGUAAGUUAAUACGUUGCUAUUUUGACGUUACCAACAGAAUAAGCACCGGCUAACUUCGUG